rnacentral:rRNA from 1 species
UCCUACGGGAGGCAGCAGUGGGGAAUCUUGCGCAAUGGGCGAAAGCCUGACGCAGCGACGCCGCGUGGAGGAUGAAGGCCCUCGGGUCGUAAACUCCUGUCAGGUGGGAAGAAGGGGGUGCCGGUUAAUACCCUGUGCCUCUGACUGUACCACCGGAGGAAGCCCCGGCUAACUCCGUGCCAGCAGCCGCGGUAAGACGGAGGGGGCAAGCGUUGCUCGGAAUCACUGGGCGUAAAGGGCAAGCAGGCGGCCCUGCAAGUCAGAUGUGAAAUCCCUCGGCUCAACCGAGGAACUGCAUCUGAAACUGCAGGGCUUGAGUUCGGGAGAGGUGAGCGGAAUUCCCGGUGUAGCGGUGAAAUGCGUUGAUAUCGGGAGGAACGUCGGUGGCGAAGGCGGCUCACUGGACCGAUACUGACGCUCAGAGGCGAAAGCUAGGGGAGCGAACGGGAUUAGAUACCCCGGUAGUCCUAGCUGUAAACGUUGGGCACUUGGUGUAGUGGGUACCGACCCCCGCUGUGCCGUAGCUAACGCGUUAAGUGCCCCGCCUGGGGAGUACGGUCGCAAGGCUGAAACUCAAAUGAAUUGACGG